GGCUGAGGCAGGGAGACACUGCCAACAACCGCCAUGACCAGCAGCAUGUGAAGACACUGGAAUAAUCUCUGUUAUGGAGACAACGUAACCAUGGCAUGGGCAGAUCCAGCAUGAAAAUAAGAACCAUGCCAAAGACCUAAGUUAAGGGCAAGAUGGAGCCACUUCUGAAGACUCCGUAGCAUCUCGAAGCCAACGUCCAAGUCGUCCCCCGGGGUCGGCACAGCCCUAACAACUCCUGGGAGGACAGGAGACCACAGAGGCCAGACGCAGAACCAAGUGCCCAGGGGACCCCACCGUGUGCUGAAGACGGCAUGUGGUGGCACCAUAAAGUGGCGUUGGAAAGAGACAGUUGUUUAACUCUUGGUUCGUGAGAGGGAAUGAACCCGAGACAAUUACCAGCUCCGCUGUUACACUUCAAAGGCACUGUGGGGGUGGGGGAGCAAAGACUUGUACUGGUCCAGAAUCAGCAGACGACGUCAAGUCAGCUCCAUGCGGCACGGAGUGGUAUCUGAGCCAACCCCUGCCGUGGGUCAGACUACAGACACGCUUGCGGUUGCACAACCAGGUGGACAGCUCACCUCUGGACACCAGUCCUUAGAGCCCCACCCUGCGAAUGCCAGCAACGGCUGUGUUAGUCCUGCAGCUCCUGCCGAGGGCUCCACGGCAUCUGCCCACAGACCAGACAAACACCGCAUUUCUCCAUCCGCAGCCUGUUUCAUGUUCGGCGCUGUGAGGUAGGGAGGUUGUUGCUUAGAUGACACCGAGAUCCUAGUUACACACUAGGACAAACGCAGAGCCCGGCCCUUCAGAGUUCCCAGCCAGGCAUGCUUUCUACGUUGGCUCCGGCCCGUGAAAGUUUUGAGUGUCGGUUCUGGAACUCUGGGGACAGUGGCACGUGGAUGUCUUCCUAUGUUUGUGUUCCCCGGUGCUAGUCUUCAAGCCGUCUCUAAAGCCCAGCCCCCUCCCUGGAUCUUUUAGAGAGAGGAACUCAGGCUGUCAGGUCGCUGCAGGCUCUGCAGUCUUUGCUAGACCUGCAUGUAGCCUCCAGCUAUGGAGCCCCCCCCCCCCCCCCGGGUUGCGUGCAACGGUGAUGCUACCGUGGAACUGGGGGUUCCUUAUGAAUCAGAAAAGCUCUGCUAAGCCUCAUUCUAAGGAAGCCGGGCCUCCACCCAGCCUGCCUGUCGGCAUCUCCCCACAUUGCCAUCGAGGGGGAGAAGACAGUCCUUGAGCCGGUCCUCCAAACACAGCUGCCAGCUUGUUUAAAUAAAGCAACUU